rnacentral:lncRNA from 1 species
AAUAGCCUCAAAAAACCAAAAACCAAAAACCAAAAAAACUUGUGACUCAAUCUAACAAAAGAGGUCAAGGACCUCUAUAAUGUAAACUACAGAACACUAAAGAGAGAAAUUGAAGAAGAUGGAAAGAUUCCCAUGUUCUUGGAUAGGCAGAAUUAAUAUUGUCAAAAUGCCCAUACUACUAAAAGUACUAUAUAGAUUCAGUGCCAUUCCCAUCAGAAUUCCAAUGACGUUCUUCAUAGAAAUAGAAAAAGCAGUCUUGAAAUUCAUCUGGAAAACAUAAGAGGCUCAGAAUAGCCAAUCCUUAGCAAGAAAAGUGAAGCAGGAGGCAUCCCAGUGCCAGACCUUAAAUUAUACUACAGAGCUAUAGUAACAAAAACGGCAUGGUUUUGGCACCCAAACAGGCAAGAAGACCAGUAGAACAGACUAGAAGACAGAGAAACAAAAACCCACAUCAAUAUAGUUACAUCACAUUAGUCAGAGGCACCCAAAAUACCUCGGAGAAAAGAUAGCCUCUUCAACAAAUAGUGCUGGGAAAACUGGAAAUCCAUAUGGAGUGCAAUAAAAGUUAAUCCGCAUUUCUCACCCUGCACAAAACUCAAAGUGGACCAAAGACCUAGGCAUUGAACCAGAGACCAUGCACACUAGCAGAAAAGGAAGACCUAACGCUUCAACACAUUGACUUAGGAUCUGACUUCUUUAACAAGACUCCUAAGGUGCGAAAAAUAAUAAUAAAAAAAAAAUCAAUAAAUGGGAUAACAUCAAACUAAAAAGCUUCUUUACAGCAAAGGAAAUAAUCCAGUGCAUGAAGAGAGAGCCUACAGAAUGAGAGAAAAUCUUUGCCACCUGCAUCUUAGAUAGGGCAUUAAUUUCCAAGAUGUAUAAAGAACUGUUGUUUUUAUUUUCUUACCUGAUAUUUUGUUGGAUAAAUACUUUUCUGCUUUUCUCUCUUUUAGACAGACACAAAAAAGGGUUUUUGUUCCCCGGAGAAUCUACUAUUGACUCUAUGAGUUUGGCUGUAUAGCCGGGAAACCUCUGCAGAAAUUUUACAAUUUGUUGUUGAAGUUUUCGUUGAUUUCUAUCUUACCUGAAGGCUUCUUUUGUCUGGGUCUGGUUUUGCCUCCAAAAUCAUCAAAGCCUUCGCCAGUUCUCCUAAGUGCUAGCCGCCUGCGGAGUUCUCCUGCAGCAUUACCAGGCUCUGGGUCAGGGGAAGGCCUGGUGAGGAAGGUGAACAGCAGGGAGAGUUUGGGGGAGGCUUCUUUAUCCCAGACUAUCCUGGGGUCCAGGUGGAUUCCCAUGAAAAUGAGUCUCAUAGGAACCAGCUCUUUGUGGAAUUAAAUUUGCUCUCUGAGAUUCUGUGUCUGUGCCUCUGUGAGAUAUAUUUCCAGUCCUGAUAUUUUAAGGACAGGAGAAAAGAGUUCCCUCUGAAAUCUAGAAUGAAAUGUUUGACGUCAC